rnacentral:tRNA from 1 species
GGAGGGUUCGCCUAGUGGCCGAUGGCGCUGGUCUUGAAAACCGGUAAGGCAGGGAUGUCUUCGUGGGUUCGAAUCCCACACCCUCCG